rnacentral:rRNA from 1 species
GCCGAUAAUCUAGCCCUAAUUUAACUAACGAGCCCCCUCUCCCCUCCGCUCGACUAUAAAAUAUUUUAAUAAUUUAGUAAAGACGAUAAAAAAAUUAAUCGGAGCUAUAGACAUGUACCGCAAGGGAACAAUGAAAUAAUAGUGAAACAUCUUAAGCACAAAAAAGUAAAGACCAACUCUUGUACCUUUCGCAUCAUGGUUUAACAAGUCUAAUUAAGCAAAAUGAUUUAAAGUUUUACAUCCCGAAACUAGGUGAGCUACUCGAGGACAGCUUCAUGAGCAAACCCGUCUCUGUUGCAAAAGAAUGGGAAGAUCCCCAAGUAGAGGUGACAGACCUAACGAACCUAGUGAUAGCUGGUUACUCAAGAAAAGAAUUUUAGUUCCUCUGAAAGUCCCCUUAAUUGUAUAAAAUAAACCCAAGACUUUUAUGUUACCCAAGUAAGGUACAGCUUACUUGGGAUAGGGUACAACCUCCUCCACCGGGUAAGCCAUUCUACACGACGUAAAUUUGUAGGCCUAAAAGCAGCCAUCCACUACAGCGUCAAAGCUUAUUUACAUCCAAAACUAAUAACUUGAUUUUUCCCGAGCCCCUCCACAGUAUUGAGUAAUUCUAUGCCUACCCAUAGAAUCUUCUAUGUUAAAACUAGUAACAAGAAGCUAGCCUUCUCUAAAAUGCCCGCAUAACCCAGGCCUGAACUCAGCACUGGCUAUUAACAGCCUUCCACUAAAGAAGAAACUUUUCAAGCAAAAUCUUCUAAAUAACCUGUUAACCUAACACAAGCGCAUUUCAAGAAAGAUUAAAAGAAAAUGAAGGAACUCGGCAAACCACCACCCCGCCUGUUUACCAAAAACAUCGCCUCUUGAAGUAUAUAAGAGGUCCAGCCUGCCCAGUGACUUGUUUAACGGCCGCGGUAUCCUAACCGUGCGAAGGUAGCGUAAUCACUUGUCUUUUAAAUAAAGACUAGUAUGAAAGGCAUCACGAGGGUCAAACUGUCUCCUUUUUCUAAUCAGUGAAACUAAUCUUCCCGUGAAGAAGCGGGAAUUCCUCUAUAAGACGAGAAGACCCUAUGGAGCUUUAAACUGUAAAUUAUUGGCUUAUCUCCCCUAGACUCCUCCAGAAAUUUAACAUUUUUAAGCCAAUUAAUUGUACGUUUUAGGUUGGGGUGACCUAGGAGAAAAACUAAUCCUCCUAGCUGAUACGGGCUAAACCCUAAGAAAAAAGCCACAACUUUAAUUAUCAAUAAAUUGACAUCAAUUGACCCAGUCCGCUGAGCAACGAACCAAGUUACCCUAGGGAUAACAGCGCAAUCUACUUCAAGAGUUCCUAUCGACAAGUGGGUUUACGACCUCGAUGUUGGAUCAGGGUAUCCGAGUGGUGCAGCCGCUACUAAAGGUUCGUUUGUUCAACGAUUAAAACCCU